rnacentral:rRNA from 1 species
GAUGAACGCUGGCGGCGUGCCUAAUACAUGCAAGUCGAGCGAACAGACGAGGAGCUUGCUCCUCUGACGUUAGCGGCGGACGGGUGAGUAACACGUGGAUAACCUACCUAUAAGACUGGGAUAACUUCGGGAAACCGGAGCUAAUACCGGAUAAUAUAUUGAACCGCAUGGUUCAAUAGUGAAAGACGGUUUUGCUGUCACUUAUAGAUGGAUCCGCGCCGCAUUAGCUAGUUGGUAAGGUAACGGCUUACCAAGGCAACGAUGCGUAGCCGACCUGAGAGGGUGAUCGGCCACACUGGGACUGAGACACGGUCCAGACUCCUACGGGAGGCAGCAGUAGGGAAUCUUCCGCAAUGGGCGAAAGCCUGACGGAGCAACGCCGCGUGAGUGAUGAAGGUCUUCGGAUCGUAAAACUCUGUUAUUAGGGAAGAACAGAUGUGUAAGUAACUAUGCACGUCUUGACGGUACCUAAUCAGAAAGCCACGGCUAACUACGUG